UGGGGAAUUUUCCGCAAUGGGCGAAAGCCUGACGGAGUGACGCCGCGUGGGGGACGAAGGCCUUCGGGUUGUAAACCCCUGUCAGAGGGAAAGAAGGGCGUCGACGUUAAUAGCGUCGGCGUCUGACGGUACCUUCAGAGGAAGCCCCGGCCAACUCUGUGCCAGCAGCCGCGGUAAGACAGAGGGGGCAAGCGUUGCUCGGAAUCACUGGGCGUAAAGGGCGCGUAGGCGGGAUGGCAAGUCAGUCGUGAAAUCUCUCGGCUCAACCGAGAAACGUCGGCUGAUACUGCCGUUCUUGAGGGAUGCAGAGGAGACUGGAAUUCCCGGUGUAGCGGUGAAAUGUGUAGAGAUCGGGAGGAACACCGGUGGCGAAGGCGGGUCUCUGGGCAUUUCCUGACGCUGAGGCGCGAAAGCGUGGGGAGCAAACGGG
rnacentral:rRNA from 1 species